rnacentral:pre_miRNA from 1 species
CAAUUUAUUAUGUGUCGUUAGUCUCUUUCUGUUAAGUAAUGACGUGGGAGACAGAGUGUCAAAUUAUCAUUGACACAUUAUCUCCUUCAAUGACGUGGUACUUCGUCUGCCAUGUCAUCACUUAACGAAAAAGGACUAACGACAGGUAGUA